AGCGAACGCUGGCGGCGUGCUUAACACAUGCAAGUCGAGCGAAGGUGUUUCAAGGGUAACCUUGAGAUACACUUAGCGGCGGACGGGUGAGUAAUACGUGGAUAACUUACCUCUAGGCCUGGGAUAACCCCGGGAAACUGGGGCUAAUACCUGAUAAGACCACAUUGUCUACGGACAAAGGGGUAAAAGGUGGCUGUGCAAACAGCUAUCGCCAAAAGAUAGGUUCACGUCCCAUCAGGCAGUUGGUGAGGUAAUGGCUCACCAAACCAAAGACGGGUAGCCGGCCUUGGCGGGUGAACGGCCACACGGGGACUGAGACACGGCCCCGACUCCUACGGGAGGCAGCAGUGGGGAAUAUUGGGCAAUGGGCGCAAGCCUGACCCAGCGACGUCGCGUUGGGGAAGAAGGCCUUC
rnacentral:rRNA from 1 species